rnacentral:lncRNA from 1 species
GAAAGAUCUCCCAUGCUCAUGGAUUGGCAGGAUUAAUAUAGUGAAAAUGGCCAUUUUACCAAAAGCAAUCUACAGAUUCAAUGCAAUCCCCAUCAAAAUACCAAUCCAAUUCUUCAAAGAGUUAGACAGAACAAUUUGCAAAUUCAUCUGGAAUAACAAAAAACCCAGGAUAGCUAAAGCUAUCCUCAACAAUAAAAGGACUUCAGGGGGAAUCACUAUCCCUGAACUCAAGCAGUAUUACAGAGCAAUAGUGAUAAAAACUGCAUGGUAUUGGUACAGAGACAGACAGAUAGACCAAUGGAAUAGAAUUGAAGACCCAGAAAUG